GGGCAGGAGGGACAGAGGCGGGGGCGGGCCGGAAAGUUUGUCCGGCGGCAGCGGCGUUGGGGACUCCGGCGGGGGAUGCGCGCCCGGCCCCUCAGCGCCCCCAGCACGCCGCCGAGUCCCGCUCGCCAUGGGCCACCCCCCACCUGUCCUGCCUUUGUGUGCCUCUGUGUCUUUGCUGGGUGGCCUGACCUUUGGUUAUGAACUGGCAGUCAUAUCAGGUGCGCUGCUGCCACUGCAGCUUGACUUUGGGCUAAGCUGCUUGGAGCAGGAGUUCCUGGUGGGCAGCCUGCUCCUGGGGGCUCUCCUCGCCUCCCUGGUUGGUGGCUUCCUCAUUGACUGCUAUGGCAGGAAGCAAGCCAUCCUCGGGAGCAACUUGGUGCUGCUGGCAGGCAGCCUGACCCUGGGCCUGGCUGGUUCCCUGGCCUGGCUGGUCCUGGGCCGCGCUGUGGUUGGCUUUGCCAUUUCCCUCUCCUCCAUGGCUUGCUGUAUCUACGUGUCAGAGCUGGUGGGGCCACGGCAGCGGGGAGUGCUUGUGUCCCUCUAUGAGGCAGGCAUCACUGUGGGCAUCCUGCUCUCCUAUGCCCUCAACUAUGCACUGGCUGGUACCCCCUGGGGAUGGAGGCACAUGUUCGGCUGGGCCACUGCACCUGCUGUCCUGCAAUCCCUCAGCCUCCUCUUCCUCCCUGCUGGUACAGAUGAGACUGCAGCACACAAGGACCUCAUCCCACUCCAGGGAGGUGAGGCCCCCAAGCUGGGCCCAGGGAGGCCACGGUACUCCUUUCUGGACCUCUUCAGGGCACGGGAUAACAUGCGAGGCCGGACCACAGUGGGCCUGGGGCUGGUGCUCUUCCAGCAACUAACAGGGCAGCCCAACGUGCUGUGCUAUGCCUCCACCAUCUUCAGCUCCGUUGGUUUCCAUGGGGGAUCCUCAGCCAUGCUGGCCUCCGUGGGGCUUGGCGCAGUGAAGGUGGCAGCUACCCUGACCGCCAUGGGGCUGGUGGACCGUGCAGGCCGCAGGGCUCUGUUGCUAGCUGGCUGUGCCCUCAUGGCCCUGUCCGUCAGCGGCAUAGGCCUCGUCAGCUUUGCCGUGCCCAUGGACUCAGGCCCAAGCUGCCUGGCUGUGCCCAAUGCCACUGGGCAGACAGGCCUCCCUGGAGACUCUGGCCUGCUGCAGGACUCCUCUCUACCUCCCAUUCCAAGGACCAAUGAGGACCAAAGGGAGCCAAUCUUGUCCACUGCUAAGAAAACCAAGCCCCAUCCCAGAUCUGGAGACCCCUCAGCCCCUCCUCGGCUGGCCCUGAGCUCUGCCCUCCCUGGGCCCCCUGUGCCCGCCCGGGGGCAUGCACUGCUGCGCUGGACCGCGCUGCUGUGCCUGAUGGUCUUUGUCAGUGCCUUCUCCUUUGGGUUUGGGCCAGGCUCCCCAAGUCAUUUGAGCUUCAGGUCCCUUAAAGCCUGGAUAGCUCACAACUGGAAGGAAUUUAAUGAAUAGGGUGAAAACCAAUCAUCCCAGUUCGUCCAAGACUGUUCCCAUCUCGGCAUUGAAAGUCUCAUGUCUCAGAAAACCUCUCAGUCUUCAGCAAACUGAGACUCUACUGUAAUUCUUAUAGCGGAAUGGGAGUGGGAGUUUAGUAUCAGGAGCCUGACACUAGAAAAUCCCAUUGUUGAGAGGCUGCAUGUUUGACCUGAUGGUGCCAGGCCCCAGGUCCCACCACAGCCCAGGAGCCCUCCUGCUCUCCCACCCUAGUGACCUGGCUUGUCCUCAGCGAGAUCUACCCUGUGGAGAUACGAGGAAGAGCCUUCGCCUUCUGCAACAGUUUCAACUGGGCGGCCAACCUCUUCAUCAGCCUCUCCUUCCUCGAUCUCAUUGGCACCAUCGGCUUGUCCUGGACCUUCCUGCUCUACGGACUGACCGCUGUCCUCGGCCUGGGCUUCAUCUAUUUAUUUGUUCCUGAAACAAAAGGCCAGUCGUUGGCAGAGAUAGACCAGCAGUUCCAGAAGAGACGGUUUGCCCUGAGCUUUGGCCACAGGCAGAACUCCACUGGCAUCCAGUACAGCCGCAUUGAGGUCUCUGCAGCCUCCUGAGGAAUCCGUCUGCCUGGAAAUUCUGGAACUGUGGCUUUGGCAGACCAUCUCCAGCGUCCUGCUUCCUAGGCCCCAGAGCACAAGUUCCAGCUGGUCUUUUGGGAGUGGCCCCUGCCCCCAAAGGUGGUCUGCUUUUGCUGGGGUAAAAAGGAUGAAAGUCUGAGAAUGCCCAACUCUUCAUUUUGAGUCUCAGGCCCUGAAGGUUCCUGAGGAUCUAGCUUCAUGCCUCAGUUUCCCCAUUGACUUGCACAUCUCUGCAGUAUUUAUAAGAAGAAUAUUCUAUGAAGUCUUUGUUGCACCAUGGACUUUCUCAAAGAAUCUCAAGGGUACCAAUCCUGGCAGGAAGUCUCUCCUGAUAUCACCCCUAAAUCCAAAUGAGGAUAUCAUCUUUUCUAAUCUCUUUUUUCAACUGGCUGGGACAUUUUGGGAAGGGGGAAGUCUCUUUUUUUACUCAUCAUUUUUUUUUGAGGUGGAGUCUCAUUCUGUUGCCCAGGCUGGCCUGAUCUCGGCUCACUGCAACCUCCACCUCCUGAGUUCAAGCGAUUCUUGUGCCUCAGCCUCCUAAGAAGCUGGGACUACAGGCGCAUGCAACCAUACCCAGCUAAUUUAUUUUUAGCAGAGAUGGGGUUUCACUAUGUUGGCCAGGCUGGUCGUGAACUCCUGAGCUCAAGUGAUCCACCCACCUCAGCCUCCCAGAGUGCCAGGAUUACAGGCCUUUUGACUCUUUUAUCUGAGUUUUAUUGACCCCUCUAAUUCUCUUACCCAGAAUAUUUAUCCUUCACCAGCAACUCUGACUCUUUGACGGGAGGCCUCAGUUCUAGUCCUUGGUCUGCUGGUGUCAUUGCUGUAGGAAUGACCACGGGCCUCAGUUUCCCCAUUUGUAUAAUGGGAAGCCUGUACCAGGUCAUUCUUAAGAUUUCUCCUGACUCCAGUGAGCUGGAAUUCUAAAUGCUGGUCUAGGAGCUGUCUCCAGGAUGGUGCAGGAUGGCUUUGCGGAAAGGAGAUGGGUUUGGAGGCCAACAAACCUGCUCGUCAAUAUUGCCUUUGCCUCUUGGCAGCCCUUGAACUUGAGUAAAUAACAACUCCCUGAACCUCAGUUUCCUCAUCUGCAGAAUGGGGAUAAUUAUGUCCCAGGGGUAUAUUUAGACCCUGUUUCCCUUCAGGAGGGUCCCCAGCUGGUCCAGGGCCUGGGAAAUUUCUACUUACCCUCAUUACCCAGGUCCCUCCCUUGGACCCUGUAAAGGGUCAGGGUGAAUCAGAUGGGGGACUGAGCAAGUAGCUAUGACCGCAGAUCAUGUAAGGAAGGGACUGACAAGAAGCUCCCAGAUGCUGGGGAGAAUGAAGAGCUAAAAUAGAUCCUAGGUGCUGGAUGCUUUGUCAUCCAUGCGUGCACAUAUGGGUGCUGGCAGAGCCCCCAAGGACUCUGGCCUCUCGAGUUCUCCUAUCUUCUCCAUUCUAGAUGCUUCCCUUGUAUCCAGUGAUGUGCUGGAGCUGGCUUUGCCAAGCUUGUGAGAGCUGGUUGCUAUAUUUUCAGGAUUUUUACAAGUUGGUAAACACAGCCAUUAUAAAAAUUUAAAUGAUUUAAAUUUAUAAUUAAGUAAAUUACAUUAAAAAAGAAAAUUAUACUCAAAACUCAUUACCUAAUUUUACUACCUGCUACUAUUAUCUGUGCUUUUGAGGCUAUUUCUAUAUAGUAACUCUUAUGGAGACCUAGGGGAGACACCGCGCAUCUCUUCCUGAUUCCCCACUCAAUGACAUCAUGUUAGUCUUUGGUUGCUUAACUGGCUGUGGGGAGUGUUUUUGUAUCACAAAGAUUAGAGAGGACUACACAUCAGGGCUUGAUUUAUUGUUUUUUGAUUUUCUAGACUUCAGAACAUGCUGGAUAAAAUGUCAGUAAUGCAAAUUAAACUUUAAAGUAUGUCUUGUUUGUAGCCAAUACAUGGUGUAUAGCACCAAAAAAUGGAGGGAUUAUUCUUCCAGUAGUUGAACACUGUUAUCCGUUUCAGCUGACAGCUGCUCAAAUCAUUUAAGAGGAGUUCUGACAUUCAUUUUCAUUGUUUUACUUUUGUCUUCCUCACUAGUGUAAACAAAAAUUUCAACCAGCAUUCAUGCCAAACCUAUACCCAUUCUUCAGUGCCUAGCUGUACAGUUAUCAGGGAUUUUUAUUCGUAGUCUAAUUUUGUCAAAUCAUGGCCAAAUCGCAGUGAUAGUUGACUUUGGAUACAAGGUUUGGCAAAAAAAAAAAAAUAUUAACAAAAUAUUCUGUAAGAAUCAAUUGGCUAUAUGGAAUUUAGGAUAAAGAAUAUUUACAAUAAAGAAUAUUUACAAUAAAGAGUUUAUUAUUAUUUGUAAGUUGUGUGCAACAAACAUAUCCUUUAUCUCUGUAAAAUUUAUACACACAAAAAUUAACAAAAGAUUCUGUAAGAAUUAAUUGGCUAUAUGGAAUUUAGGAUAGAAUGUUUACAAUAAAGAGUAUUUACAAUAAAGA